UCAUUGCGCUCUCAAUUACAGUGGAGAUGUGGCAUUGUGCAUCUAUUUGGAGAGCACCAGAGGUUAGGAGGACAGGUUUGAAUAUUUCCCCCAGCAGUUCUGCCCUCUAGCAAAUCCGCAUGUUUCCCUCAAUGAAGGAAAGAUGACGAGCAACAAACCGGUCCACACGAAUGGGUAGGCUUUAAACUUGAGUAGGCCUUUUUUUUAUGUUUUUGAACUUUGCUUCAACAGCUGCGGAACUUGUAGUGAUGCUGGUGCUUUUGAAGAGAGGGACCAUUAUUGCUGUCCAGAGUGGCAAGUCACUUACAAGUCUUGUUAUGUGGGGAAUAAUCUCAGGGAGGAAGUGGAUGUUGUCUCGAUCCCCAUCAGCCAUGGCAAGUGACCUGCUCUCCUCACAUAUUUCUGUCACCCACUGUCGGACAUUAGUCUGGAUGUGCUGAUUUAAUGCAUCACCUGGUUCUUGUCCCUCAACUUCCUCAUCUGAAAUGGGGACAAAUUCCUCUGCGAUUUGCGCUCUCAAGUAUUUCUUGCACUUUUCUGAUGGGAUAGGGGCUCCAGAAUUGACAUUACCCUCUGUCUCACUCCGUGCCACAAUGGUAGAAGCACGAAGACGUUCUUUUGCAUGUUGCAAACAUUGUGACUUAAGAAGCUGUGCUAUUGACCUGACAAAGAAAUCCUUAACACAAGGUAUUUUGUCUUUCAGGCAGUCCCAUCGGCAGAUCAUCUUAAUACAGUGUGCGACAUCUACCCUGACAAAACAUGGGGGUAGAUGUCCAGGUUGAUUCCCACGUGAAAUGUUAAAGCUCUUCAGAUCAGGAUGAGGGGUAAAAGCUUUGACUAGAACUCCAAGAAUCGCCAGAGAAAAGUCACUCACUGCUUCUUUAGGAACAGAUGCACCUGCAUGGGUCCAUUCUUUCAGCCACUGUGUGAUAGCAUUAACAUCAUGCUUCUCUGACAGCCUCUGCACGACUGGGAUACUGGAGCUGGUAUGCCCUGUCAUAACACCCUGAUACAGGAAGAUAUGGCCAGACAUGCCAUUCGGUCUCAUCAGUUUUUUAACUAUUGAGCCAGUUGCAUCAAUAUUGGGGUGGCCAAAUUUGGCAGGUGGCUUGGCUCAGAGUCUCCGAAGUCCAUCAGUUUAUUUGCCUGUGAUGCUCGCCAUACAUGUGGUUCCAUCCUGCCCUCACAAAGUUCCUUGGCUACCUCCACACGCAACUGUCCAGAUAGAAACCAGUGUCUAGGGCAGGGGUGGGCAAUUAUUUUUUCCAUGGGGCCACAUGAGAAACAGAAAAUAUUGUGGGGGGCCGGGUCAAAAGGCUUAACUCAAUUCUACAUAAUAUUAAU